GGCUGGAUAGCUCAGUUGGUACAGCACCAGAACAGCGAUCUGGAGGUUGCAGGUUCAAACCCAGCUCCAGUCA
rnacentral:tRNA from 1 species